rnacentral:rRNA from 1 species
AUUGAACGCUGGCGGCAUGCCUUACACAUGCAAGUCGAACGGCAGCGGGGACUUCGGUCCGCCGGCGAGUGGCGAACGGGUGAGUAAUGUAUCGGAACGUACCAUUCAGUGGGGGAUAACUAUCCGAAAGGAUAGCUAAUACCGCAUAUUCUGUGAGCAGGAAAGCAGGGGAUCGCAAGACCUUGCGCUGAUUGAGCGGCCGAUAUCAGAUUAGCUAGUUGGUGAGGUAACGGCUCACCAAGGCUACGAUCUGUACCGAGUCUGAGAGGAUGAUGCGCCAGACUGGGACUGAGACACGGCCCAGACUCCUACGGGAGGCAGCAGUGGGGAAUUUUGGACAAUGGGCGCAAGCCUGAUCCAGCCAUGCCGCGUGAGUGAAGAAGGCCUUCGGGUUGUAAAGCUCUUUCGGCCGGGAAGAAAUCGCAUCAGCUAAUACCUGGUGUGGAUGACGGUACCGGAAUAAGAAGCACCGGCUAACUACGUGCCAGCCGCCGCAGUAAUAC